rnacentral:rRNA from 1 species
AGCAGCCGCGGUAAUUCCAGCUCCAAUAGCGUAUAUUAAAGUUGUUGCAGUUAAAAAGCUCGUAGUUGAAUUUCGGGAUCAAUAUGUUGGUCGUACCUUGGUACGUACUGGCAUUAUUGGUUCCUACCUUCUGAAGAACCUCGAUGUCAUUAAUUUAGUGUCUUGGGGAAUCAGGACUGUUACUUUGAAAAAAUUAGAGUGUUUAAAGCAGGCUAACGCUUGAAUACAUUAGCAUGGAAUAAUGAAAUAGGACGUUCGAUCCUAUUUUGUUGGUUUCUAGGAUUGACGUAAUGAUUAAUAGGGAUAGUUGGGGGCAUUAGUAUUCAAUUGUCAGAGGUGAAAUUCUUGGAUUUAUUGAAGACUAACUACUGCGAAAGCAUUUGCCAAGGAUGUUUUCAUUAAUCAAGAACGAAAGUUAGGGGAAUCGAAGACGAUCAGAUACCGUCGUAGUCUUAACCAUAAACUAUGCCGACUAGGGAUCGGAUGAUGUAUUUUAAUGACUCAUUCGGCGCUUACGGGA